rnacentral:lncRNA from 1 species
GAAAACCCAAGAAUUGUGCCUGGACAUCUGUUGCUGGGGGUUCCCAUUCUUCUUCGUGUCGAUCCAAAUUGAUGCAUGACAGAUGUAACUUAUAGAAUAAAAUUAAUAUUUGUAGGGUACAGGGUCAUUUCCAAAGAGCCCCACAGUGUGGACUGUCCCCCACGCAGCGUCCAGCCAAAUGGCCGCUCUGGACACCCACUAGCUGGGUGGCACACAGUUACCUUGAAGUAUACAUCUGUUUUCACUGACGUCUUGGAACAGCAACGCUCCGGUACGGCUACUGCGCUAUCGGUUAUUUCUCUUUCUGAAUAAAACCGUCCAAAAUCAUCUUUAUUACCUUGUCACUAGUGUUCUCUUUUUACAUUUAACACUUACGCUCCCCAGGGCUCAAUAUCCCGUACCAGAAACGCUUUAUACACCCCAUAUACAGUUUUUAUGUGUUCUCCUGCUAAUACUUAGCGCUAAUGGCUAAGCUAACAGUUGUAUGGAUUAAUUAACAUUACUGCAGCGUCAAAAAAAAAAAAAAAAAUUGAUACGUUUUCCCGCUUCCUAACACGGCAGGCAACGUUAGUGUACUGUGAAAAACAAAUUGAGAAUACUUAAAUUUCGGAUAAUUAAAUUUAUUCCCUCACUUUUUUUUGCGCGGGAAAAAAAUAAAAUCGUUAUGUGUGAAAUCGUAAUCUCCA